rnacentral:rRNA from 1 species
GUGGGGAAUAUUGCACAAUGGGCGAAAGCCUGAUGCAGCAACGCCGCGUGAGUGAUGAAGGCCUUCGGGUCGUAAAACUCUGUCCUCAAGGAAGAUAAUGACGGUACUUGAGGAGGAAGCCCCGGCUAACUACGUGCCAGCAGCCGCGGUAAUACGUAGGGGGCUAGCGUUAUCCGGAUUUACUGGGCGUAAAGGGUGCGUAGGCGGUCUUUCAAGUCAGGAGUGAAAGGCUACGGCUCAACCGUAGUAAGCUCUUGAAACUGGGAGACUUGAGUGCAGGAGAGGAGAGUGGAAUUCCUAGUGUAGCGGUGAAAUGCGUAGAUAUUAGGAGGAACACCAGUUGCGAAGGCGGCUCUCUGGACUGUAACUGACGCUGAGGCACGAAAGCGUGGGGAGCAAACAGGAUUAGAAACCCCAGUAGUCCC